ensembl:snoRNA LOC120097257 small nucleolar RNA SNORA17
CCUGCCUCUAGGGGCAUUGCCGGUGCCACUGCUCUGUCACAUGUGGGUCAGUAUGUGGCUGGGAAGAGAAAGGCUAUAACUAUAGUGUUCUGACCUAUGGACACUUGAAUAAUUAGUAGCCUAGCAUU